rnacentral:rRNA from 1 species
UGGGGAAUUUUGCACACUGGGGGAAACCCUGAUGCAGCGACGCCGCGUGAUUUAGAAGGCCUUCGGGUUGUAAAAAUCUUUUUUACGGGAUGAAAAUGACAGUACCGUAAGAAUAAGGUCCGGCUAAAUACGUGCCAGCAGCCGCGGUAAUACGUAUGGACCGAGCGUUGUCCGGAAUCAUUUGGCGUAAAGGGUACGUAGGCGGCCUAGUAAGUUAGAAGUGAAAUAAUAUAGCUCAACUAUAUAAAGCUUUUAAAACUGCUAGGCUUGAGGGAUGGAAGGGAAAGUGUAAUUCCUAGUGUAGCGGAGAAAUGCGCAGAUAUUAGGAAGAAUACCGGUGGCGAAGGCGACUUUCUGGUCAUCAUCUGACGCUGAGGUACGAAAGCGUGGGUAGCAAACAGG